rnacentral:precursor_RNA from 15 species
AUGUUUGUUUGCCAACUGCGCCCUCCCCUGUGAGGUAUUUUUGUAAGCGCCAUUAUAAAAUUUGGCACUGUGGUGCUUACGAAAAUACCUUGGCGGUGGGGGUGCUUAACCGUUUGCGCAACCC